GUGGACCCCCGAUAAUUUGAACGGUACCUCAUUCAAAUUAACGGGGUUCAUUUUUAAUUUGAACUUCUGGUUACUCUAUUUGCAUAAGAAAAACUGGUUUCUGGCUGCUCUCUUGGCUGGUUUGUUUUGAUUCUGCAUUCCGUUUAACGAUGUUCCAUUUUUCUUUUCCGAUUCCACGUGUUGAAUGACGUUUGAACCAUUUUUAAUUUGAACGAUGUUCAAACGAACGGGGUUCAAAUUAAAAAGUGUUCAGAUUAAAAGCGGUCAUAUUACCGGGGGUCCACGGUAUUCAUCUCGUCUAAGCAUUCGGAGUUAUCGGUGUAUUUUUAUUCCGUCAUCGCAAAACAGAAGUAUCCGAAACUGGGUGACUUCUGAAACGCUAACCGGAUUCCAACGGGGGAAUGCAGAUCUCAAAUAAUCGGAUACUAAAGCAGAAUCGAUGCCGGCGAAAGAAUUUUUUAUAUCCAGAUGGUUUAUCGAAGGAAAAAAACAACCUUUUUCAGCACUAAGCGGAUACAAAAAGUGGGCAUUUUUUCUCAAAAUUGUAUAUUGCCAUCGAGUGGAAGCCGAUCAACAGGUCUAAAAAUGCAGACGAAACAAAAUUUGGAAACAAAUGGUUUACCGACGGAAAAGCAGAAUAGGAACAGUCUAUACACACAUGGCCACAGAAUAGUAAUGCUGUAAGUUCAAAAUGGAAUAUAAAUAAAAGAAUUUUCUCAUGAAUACAAAUGA